UCUGGGACAAGCCCUGGAAACGGGGUCUAAUACCGGAUGACACUUCCUUCCGCAUGGGAGGAGGUUGAAAGCUCCGGCGGUGCAGGAUGAGCCCGCGGCCUAUCAGCUUGUUGGUGGGGUGAUGGCCUACCAAGGCGACGACGGGUAGCCGGCCUGAGAGGGCGACCGGCCACACUGGGACUGAGACACGGCCCAGACUCCUACGGGAGGCAGCAGUGGGGAAUAUUGCACAAUGGGCGAAAGCCUGAUGCAGCGACGCCGCGUGAGGGAUGACGGCCUUCGGGUUGUAAACCUCUUUCAGCAGGGAAGAAGCGAAAGUGACGGUACCUGCAGAAGAAGCGCCGGCUAACUACGUGCCAGCAGCCGCGGUAAUACGUAGGGCGCAAGCGUUGUCCGGAAUUAUUGGGCGUAAAGAGCUCGUAGGCGGCUUGUCACGUCGGAUGUGAAAGCCCGGGGCUUAACCCCGGGUCUGCAUUCGAUACGGGCAGGCUAGAGUGUGGUAGGGGAGAUCGGAAUUCCUGGUGUAGCGGUGAAAUGCGCAGAUAUCAGGAGGAACACCGGUGGCGAAGGCGGAUCUCUGGGCCAUUACUGACGCUGAGGAGCGAAAGCGUGGGGAGCGAACAGGAUUAGAUACCCUGGUAGUCCACGCCGUAAACGUUGGGAACUAGGUGUUGGCGACAUUCCACGUCGUCGGUGCCGCAGCUAACGCAUUAAGUUCCCCGCCUGG
rnacentral:rRNA from 1 species